CCUACGGGAGGCAGCAGUGGGGAAUAUUGGGCAAUGGGCGCAAGCCUGACCCAGCAACGCCGCGUGAAGGAAGAAGGCUUUCGGGUUGUAAACUUCUUUUGUCAGGGAAGAGUAGAAGACGGUACUUGACGAAUAAGCCACGGCUAACUACGUGCCAGCAGCCGCGGUAAUACGUAGGUGGCAAGCGUUGUCCGGAUUGACUGGGGGUAAAGGGCGUGUAGCCGGGUUGACAAGUCAGAUGUGAAAUCCUGCGGCUUAACCGCAGAACUGCAUUUGAAACUGUUGAUCUUGAGUACUGGAGAGGCAGGUGGAAGUCCUAGUGUAGCGGUGAAAUGCGUAGAUAUUAGGAGGAACACCAGUGGCGAAGGCGGUCUACUGGACAGCAACUGACGGUGAGGCGCGAAAGCGUGGGGAGCAAACAGGAUUAGAUACCCCGGUAGUC
rnacentral:rRNA from 1 species